rnacentral:rRNA from 1 species
GCUAAUACAUGCAGUCGAGCGGAUUGAUGGGAGCUUGCUCCCUGAUAUCAGCGGCGGACGGGUGAGUAACACGUGGGUAACCUGCCUGUAAGACUGGGAUAACUCCGGGAAACCGGGGCUAAUACCGGAUAACUCAUUUCCUCGCAUGAGGAAAUGUUGAAAGAUGGCUUCUUGCUAUCACUUACAGAUGGACCCGCGGCGCAUUAGCUAGUUGGUGAGGUAACGGCUCACCAAGGCAACGAUGCGUAGCCGACCUGAGAGGGUGAUCGGCCACACUGGGACUGAAACACGGCCCAAACUCCUACGGGAGGCAGCAGUAGGGAAUCUUCCGCAAUGGACGAAAGUCUGACGGAGCAACGCCGCGUGAGUGAUGAAGGUUUUCGGAUCGUAAAACUCUGUUGUUAGGGAAAAACAAGUACCGUUCGAAUAGGGCGGUACCUUGACGGUACCUAACCAGAAAGCCACGGCUAACUACGUGCCAGCAGCCGCGGUAAUACGUAGGUGGCAAGCGUUGUCCGGAAUUAUUGGGCGUAAAGCGCGCGCAGGUGGUUUCUUAAGUCUGAUGUGAAAGCCCACGGCUCAACCGUGGAGGGUCAUUGGAAACUGGGGAACUUGAGUGCAGAAGAGGAAAGUGGAAUUCCAAGUGUAGCGGUGAAAUGCGUAGAUAUUUGGAGGAACACCAGUGGCGAAGGCGACUUUCUGGUCUGUAACUGACACUGAGGCGCGAAAGCGUGGGGAGCAAACAGGAUUAGAUACCCUGGUAGUCCACGCCGUAAACGAUGAGUGCUAAGUGUUAGGGGGUUUCCGCCCCUUAGUGCUGCAGCUAACGCAUUAAGCACUCCGCCUGGGGAGUACGGUCGCAAGACUGAAACUCAAAGAAUUGACGGGGCCCGCACAAGCGUGGAGCAUGUGUUUAAUUCGAAGCAACGCGAAGAACCUUACAGGUC